rnacentral:tRNA from 1 species
CGGGGUGUAGCGCAGCCCGGCUAGCGCGCUUCGUUCGGGACGAAGAGGUCGGG